UACGGAGGGUGCGAGCGUCGUCCGGAAUUACUGGGCGUAAAGCGUGCGCAGGCGGUUGUGUAAGUCUGUCGUGAAAUCCCCGGGCUCAACCUGGGAAUUGCGAUGGAGACUGCACGGCUAGAGUGUGUCAGAGGGGGGUAGAAUUCCACGUGUAGCAGUGAAAUGCGUAGAUAUGUGGAGGAACACCGAUGGCGAAGGCAGCCCCCUGGGAUAACACUGACGCUCAUGCACGAAAGCGUGGGGAGCAAACAGG
rnacentral:rRNA from 1 species